rnacentral:rRNA from 1 species
UACGUAGGGGGCAAGCGUUGCCCGGAUUUAUUGGGCGUAAAGAGCGUGUAGGCGGCUAUACAGGUCCGCUGUGAAAACUCGAGGCUCAACCUCGAGACGUCGGUGGAAACCGUAUGGCUAGAGUCCGGAAGAGGAGAGUGGAAUUCCUGGUGUAGCGGUGAAAUGCGCAGAUAUCAGGAGGAACACCGGUGGCGAAGGCGGGUCUCUGGGCAGUAACUGACGCUGAGGAGCGAAAGCGUGGGGAGCGAACAGG